AGAGUUUUGAUCCUGGACUCAGGAUGAACGCUGGCGGCGUGCUUAACACAUGCAAAGUCGAACGAAGCACUUAGAACGAUUCUUCGGAUGAAGUCUUUGUGACUGAGUGGCGACGGGUGAGUAACGCGUGGGUAACCUGCCUCACGACAGGGGGAUAACAGUUGGAAACGACCGCUAAUACCGCAUAAGCCAACAGGGGCGCAUGCUCUGGUUGGAAAAGAUUUAUCGGUGUGAGAUGGACCCGCGUCUGAUUAGCCAGUUGGCAGGGUAACGGCCUACCAAAGCGACGAUCAGUAGCCGGCCUGAGAGGGUGAACGGCCACAUUGGGACUGAGACACGGCCCAAACUCCUACGGGAGGCAGCAGUGGGGAAUACUGCACAAUGGGGGAAACCCUGAUGCAGCGACGCCGCGUGAGUGAAGAAGUAUUUCGGUAUGUAAAGCUCUAUCAGCAGGGAAGAAAAUGACGGUACCUGACUAAGAAGCCCCGGCUAACUACGUG
rnacentral:rRNA from 1 species